ensembl:lncRNA TMEM161B-DT TMEM161B divergent transcript
AGGCGCAGCACAGGUACGUGGGCGGGCGGAUCGUGGUGGCUGCGCUUGCGAGGACCCUGAGGUAGAUUGGGUGGUUUCAACAGGAACGCAUCCACUGUCUGAGAGUUUAAACUUGAUUUUGUGAGGGGACGAACAGCGUGACAAUUAAAAGAAGAUCUGGGAAUCAAAAGCUUCCUGAGGCCUUCACCAGAAGCAGAUGCUGGUGCCGUGCUUCUACAGCCUGCAGAACUGAAGGACUUUACAGCUUCUCUUUCGCAUAUCCAAAUUGCCAGCAUCACCGCUCUUGCACUCCAAGCCAUUAUUAAGUAAAGUAAAGAACACAAACACUGUGAUACUGCUACACUUGAUCUGAUAACCAAGAAGUCUACUAAGUGACUAACAGUUAAUAUUUUUGGACAUGAGGUGACUGCAGUUAACUAAAACCAUGGAAAGCAAACCCAUAGAUAAAGGGAUACUAUGCAGAGCAACUGGGAACCUAAUUCUGACCAAAAAGGAGGAAUUGUUUGGCUAAUUGGAAGUGACAGAAACCUUGGGAGAAAGCAACCGCAUACCAAGGAUAAUUAUAAGAAGGUAACAUGGGCCCUAAAGGAUAGUGUCAAGAAACCUGAAACCCCCAAAUGAGGUGAGACUUGCAAAAAAUGCUAAGGAAGGACAAAAAACAGGCCUUUUAAAAUUCUGUUCAGAACCAGAAGAUGAUCAAGAAAGGGAAAUGCCCACUAGCAGCUUCUACUGUAAGGUUAGAGCUGACAGAGAAAGAACUCCUUAACUACUAUUUGCUUCAUUCUCUACAAAGGAAACUAGAGAAGUGGGUUGAUGUAAUAGAAAGAACAUGUGUUUGUGGGGCCAGGCAAACCUGGGUUUAAUUCUGUUUCAACACUGCUUAACAAAAUUUAUGGGAGGCUAUUGUUUUGGAUUGGGCUCCUGCACCAGGCCCCUCCGGACCAAACCAAAAUGGAGUCACUCAUACUAAAACUCCAGGUCACUGAACCAAAACUAAGUUGUUUAUCUGACCUUCCAAGAAAUCAGGAGGGAGAAAACAACCAAAUCUCCAAACAGGCCAGUUUUAAUCAGCGUGAUAAGGAAGUCCUCUCUUUUUUAACCCUAUAAAGAAAGUAACUUUUUGAAAUGAUCAAUACACUUUGUAUUCCUUAGUUCUGCUUUCUUUAGCCCCUUUCUGCCUAUAAAGCCCACUUCCUCUGCUCAACUUACUGAAGCAGUAUUCCAUUUUAUAGAAUGAGAUGCUGCCCAAUUCUGGAAUCACUAAUAAAAGCCAAUUAGAUCUUUACAUUUGUUGAAAUUUUGUCUUUGACAACAUUACUAGUUAUAUUAUUCUGGGUAUCCUUUUCCCCAUCUGUAAAAUGGACAUAGCGAUAUCCUUCCCAUCAGAUUUUUCUCAUUAAUAGAAGUAAUACAUUCAAAACACUGAGCCAGGCUCACACCAGUGAGCAACUUGUUAAUAUUACUCAGAAGCAUAUUAUAGAUAUUGACAG